UACGUAGGGUGCAAGCGUUAAUCGGAAUUACUGGGCGUAAAGCGUGCGCAGGCGGUUUUGUAAGUUUGUCGUGAAAGCCCCGGGCUCAACCUGGGAAUUGCGAUGAAGACUGCAAGGCUUGAAUCCGGGAGAGGGAUGCGGAAUUCCAGGUGUAGCGGUGAAAUGCGUAGAUAUCUGGAGGAACACCGGUGGCGAAGGCGGCAUCCUGGACCGGUAUUGACGCUGAGGCGCGAAAGCCAGGGGAGCAAACGGG
rnacentral:rRNA from 1 species